AAGAGCUUGCUCUUAAGAAGUUAGCGGCGGACGGGUGAGUAACACGUGGGUAACCUGCCCAUAAGACUGGGAUAACUCCGGGAAACCGGGGCUAAUACCGGAUAACAUCUUGCACCGCAUGGUGCAAGAUUGAAAGGCGGCUUCGGCUGUCACUUAUGGAUGGACCCGCGUCGCAUUAGCUAGUUGGUGAGGUAACGGCUCACCAAGGCGACGAUGCGUAGCCGACCUGAGAGGGUGAUCGGCCACACUGGGACUGAGACACGGCCCAGACUCCUACGGGAGGCAGCAGUAGGGAAUCUUCCGCAAUGGACGAAAGUCUGACGGAGCAACGCCGCGUGAGCGAUGAAGGCCUUCGGGUCGUAAAGCUCUGUUGUUAGGGAAGAACAAGUAUGAGUUGAAUAAGCUCAUGCCUUGACGGUACCUAACCAGAAAGCCACGGCUAACUACGUGCCAGCAGCCGCGGUAAUACGUAGGUGGCAAGCGUUAUCCGGAAUUAUUGGGCGUAAAGCGCGCGCAGGCGGUUUCUUAAGUCUGAUGUGAAAGCCCACGGCUCAACCGUGGAGGGUCAUUGGAAACUGGGAGACUUGAGUGCAGAAGAGGAGAGU
rnacentral:rRNA from 1 species